rnacentral:rRNA from 1 species
GCCCAAGGCGGCAGCUACCAUGCAGUCGAGCGGUAACAGGAGAAAGCUUGCUUUCUUGCUGACGAGCGGCGGACGGGUGAGUAAUGUAUGGGGAUCUGCCCGAUAGAGGGGGAUAACUACUGGAAACGGUGGCUAAUACCGCAUGACGUCUACGGACCAAAGCAGGGGCUCUUCGGACCUUGCGCUAUCGGAUGAACCCAUAUGGGAUUAGCUAGUAGGUGGGGUAAUGGCUCACCUAGGCGACGAUCUCUAGCUGGUCUGAGAGGAUGAUCAGCCACACUGGGACUGAGACACGGCCCAGACUCCUACGGGAGGCAGCAGUGGGGAAUAUUGCACAAUGGGCGCAAGCCUGAUGCAGCCAUGCCGCGUGUAUGAAGAAGGCCUUAGGGUUGUAAAGUACUUUCAGCGGGGAGGAAGGUGUUAAGAUUAAUACUCUUAGCAAUUGACGUUACCCGCAGAAGAAGCACCGGCUAACUCCGUGCCAGCAGCCGCGGUAAUACGGAGGGUGCAAGCGUUC